CGCAUCUGUGCAUGCAGCAUAUCAAUAAGCAGAGGAAAAGAAACUAACAAGGAUUCCCCUAGUAACGGCGAGUGAAGCGGGAAGAGCUCAAAUUUGAAAUCUUAAAGGGUUUCCCUUUACGAAUUGUAGUUUAAAGAAGUGUUUUCUGUUGAGGUUCUGGUAAAAGUUCUUUGGAAUAGGACAUCAUAGAGGGUGAGAAUCCCGUAUUUGACCUUUACUUUCAACUUUGUGAUACACUUUCAAAGAGUCGGAUUGUUUGGGAAUGCAGUCCAAAAUGGGUGGUAAAUUUCAUCUAAAGCUAAAUAUUGGCGAGAGACCGAUAGCGAACAAGUACCGUGAGGGAAAGAUGAAAAGAACUUUGAAAAGAGAGUUAAACAGUACGUGAAAUUGUCAAAAGGGAAGCGUUUGACACCAGUGUUGUUUUUCUGAAAAUCAAUUAAAGAACUGUUUAUGCUAAGUUGUUUAGACUUUAUCAGCUAAUCUGCUUAGUUUUGAGCUUUUCUUUAAUGCACUUUUCAGUUAACAAGUCAACAUCAAUUUCUUUUGUUGUAAAAAGGGUAGAGGAAGGUGGCUUGCGCUUCGUCUCUAAGUGUUUAUAGCCUCUUUAGCCUCUGCAAUCGGAGAGAUUGAGGUCUGCAGCGUAGAUCCUUCGGGGCUAAAUGCAUUUGUGCUAAGUUAUAGCAUUUUAUAGACAACUUGUUGACUAUGAUUUGUCUUGUAGCUUACUCGCUUAUGUUAUUUUACCUACGCUUAGGAUGUUGAACUCUAUCACACACAG
rnacentral:rRNA from 1 species